rnacentral:rRNA from 1 species
UCGCACGAGAAAGUGGAGCAUCCAUGAGUAAAGUGGCGUACGGGUGAGUAACACGUGGAUAAUCUACCUUUUAGUGGGGAAUACCUCCUGGAAACGGGAGACAAUACCGCAUAAGCUCGUAAGAGGAAAGCAGCAAUGCGCUGAAAGAGGAGUCCGCGGCUGAUUAGCUAGUUGGCGGGGUAACGGCCCACCAAGGCGAAGAUCGGUAGCCGGCCUGAGAGGGCACACGGCCACACUGGCACUGAAACACGGGCCAGACUCCUACGGGAGGCAGCAGUGGGGAAUCUUGCACAAUGGAGGAAACUCUGAUGCAGCGACGCCGCGUGAGCGAUGAAGCCCUUCGGGGUGUAAAGCUCUUUCGGCAGGAACGAUAAUGACGGUACCUGCAGAAGAAGCUGCGGCUAACUACGUGCCAGCAGCCGCGGUAAUACGUAGGCAGCAAGCGUUGUUCGGAAUUACUGGGCGUAAAGAGUGUGUAGGCGGUUCUCUAAGUUCCGUGUGAAAUCUCCCGGCUUAACUGGGAGGGUGCGCGGAAAACUGGAGGGCUGGAGUAUGGGAGAGGAAAGCGGAAUUCCUGGUGUAGCGGUGAAAUGCGUAGAUAUCAGGAGGAACACCUGCGGUGUAGACAGCUUUCUGGACCAUCACUGACGCUGAGACACGAAAGCGUGGGUAGCAAACAGGAUUAGAUACCCUGGUAGUCCACGCCCUAAACGAUGCAUACUUGGUGUGAGCCGUUCAUUCGGUUCGUGCCGGAGUUAACGCGUUAAGUAUGCCGCCUGGGGAGUACGGUCGCAAG